UUAAUACAAGCUAUGAGAAUACUUGGGGUGAAAACCAAUUUCUUUGAUGUAGAAAAAAAGUCGUACAUAUAGUAAAUUAUCAAUCAUAAUUACAGGUUCGAGCUUAAGCAGGGCAAGAUACACAUCCCCUGUUGGAUAAUGACAACCAACCACAGGUACUCGGAGACCAUGAGGAAAAAUUGUGCACAGAAACUAUUGAUUUAACUUUUUUAGAAUCACAAGCUGAGGCCUGAAAGACAUAUUCCAACUAAUAACAGAUAAUAUCAUGGUCAAAACCCUUUUUCUUUUUUUCUUUGCCCAAACAACCAAUCUCCUCGCCAUAAGAGGAAAAAAAUAACAUAAAAAAGGAAAAAAAAUCCCUCGAUCGGUCGACAAAUUUCUCAAUGAACAACAGAGAGAGAGAGAGAGAGAGA